CUAGAGUUUGAUCCUGGCUCAGGACGAACGCUGGCGGCGUGCUUAACACAUGCAAGUCGAGCGGUAAGGCCCUUCGGGGUACACGAGCGGCGAACGGGUGAGUAACACGUGGGUGAUCUGCCUUGCACUCUGGGAUAAGCCUGGGAAACUGGGUCUAAUACCGGAUAUGACCUGGGGUUGCAUGACCUCGGGUGGAAAGAUUUAUCGGUGCAAGAUGAGCCCGCGGCCUAUCAGCUUGUUGGUGGGGUAAUGGCCUACCAAGGCGACGACGGGUAGCCGGCCUGAGAGGGCGACCGGCCACACUGGGACUGAGACACGGCCCAGACUCCUACGGGAGGCAGCAGUGGGGAAUAUUGCACAAUGGGCGGAAGCCUGAUGCAGCGACGCCGCGUGAGGGAUGACGGCCUUCGGGUUGUAAACCUCUUUCGACUCCGACGAAGCGAGAGUGACGGUAGGAGUAUAAGAAGCACCGGCCAACUACGUGCCAGCAGCCGCGGUAAUACGUAGGGUGCGAGCGUUGUCCGGAAUUACUGGGCGUAAAGAGCUUGUAGGCGGCUUGUCGCGUCGAUCGUGAAAACUCGGGGCUCAACCCCGAGCUUGCGGUCGAUACGGGCAGGCUUGAGUACUUCAGGGGAGACUGGAAUUCCUGGUGUAGCGGUGAAAUGCGCAGAUAUCAGGAGGAACACCGGUGGCGAAGGCGGGUCUCUGGGAAGUAACUGACGCUGAGAAGCGAAAGCGUGGGUAGCGAACAGGAUUAGAUACCCUGGUAGUCCACGCCGUAAACGGUGGGUACUAGGUGUGGGUUUCCUUCCACGGGAUCCGUGCCGUAGCUAACGCAUUAAGUACCCCGA
rnacentral:rRNA from 1 species